AUACGUAGGGGGCGAGCGUUGUCCGGAAUGAUUGGGCGUAAAGGGCGCGUAGGCGGCUUUGCAAGUCAGUAGUGGAAGUCCAUUUUUCAAGGAUGGAAGUGCUACAGAAACUGCGGAGCUUGAGUGCAGGAGAGGUUAUCGGAAUUCCCGGUGUAGCGGUGAUAUGCGUAGAGAUCGGGAGGAACACCAGUGGCGAAGGCGGGUAACUGGACUGAAACUGACGCUGAGGCGCGAAAGUGUGGGGAGCAAACAGGAUUAGAUACCAUGGUAGUCCACGCCGUAAACGAUGAGUGCUAAGUGUUGGAGGGUUUCCGCCCUUCAGUGCUGCAGCUAACGCAUUAAGCACUCCGCCUGGGGAGUACGGCCGCAAGGCUGAAACUCAAAGGAAUUGACGGGG
rnacentral:rRNA from 1 species